ensembl:lncRNA
AUGAAAGACGAUAAUGUUACCGAUGAUUGUUUGAUUCUGCCUGUUGACAGAUCUGUGCUGAUGGGGUCGUUUCAUCAAGAUGAUUUACAGUUCGGAAAGGAUCGCAACAGGCAAUGUGGUGCCAUCAGUCUGACUGCAGUUCUGAAGUCCAAUCUGAGUGACGUGUGGACCUGGACGAGCAGAGAUCUCGAUGAUGUUUUGAUUAAGGGAACUGUACUUUACAGAUCAAUGAAUGCACAGCGUCUAAUAAGAGACCAAGAAAGAGGUUACAUUGCUGUGUCUGAAUUGCCUAGACACUACAAAGUGUGGAAUACAAAUUUUGCAAUUAACUAUGCAGAGUCUUUCACUGGAUUGAUUCAUGUUGAUGACUAUGAUCAAAGUUUACGUGAUGUUGCUAUGCCUUUUGAUGAGGCACUCCAGCGUUCACUAUAUGGUAAUGAUGGUUGUUUGUUAACCAUUUGUGCUAAUACAUGUGCAAUAGUCAAUGGAAGAGGCAAGUUUGCAUUUGUUGAUUCGCACAUAAACUCAAAUGUCAACAGGAAAGGUCGAAGGGCAAGCUGUGUUUCAUACUUCAACUGUUUACAGACCCUGAUCCGUCAUGUGUAUGACUUUGCAGAACGGUUUGGCGGAAGUACACCCCGAUUUGAGGCAACAGGUGUGAAAGCUGCAAUAAUCCAUGUCGACCCUGACAACGCCAACUACAGUCCAAUGGUAAACCGUCCACUCUACAGUGACAUAGUCAAAGGUAAUCCUAUGCAUAAAGUGUGUGAACAACUGCCAGGUGUAAGUGAUGCUGGUAACUUUGGUAUAGAUACAGGUUACUGUUCUGAUAAGGGUCAGUGUUUCAAAAGAGAAAUUGAAUCACAUGUCAACGAUGUCAUCGAUGUGGAUGCAAACAUGGCCGCACAACCGCCUGAAUGUUUGAAAAGAGUGCCCCUUUACCGUUCUGAUAAAGGUAAGCGACCUCAGCGUGUCAAACGUGUCAAAACCGAAAUUAAAUCACAUGUCAUCGAUGUGGAUGCAGACACGGCCAAAGAGUCUUUUCAAUCACAGUGUGGUUUAGCGGCUACAGAUGAUGUCAUCAUUCACGAGGAAACUGUCGCCAAACGGCCCUUUAAACCUUUAACUCGUGAGGAUCAGGAUGUCUUGUGCAAACAAAUUGGACUGUCGACUGUACAUUCUGAUGAAAGGCCAAACACAACAAGCAGUGUUGACGAUAUGGGAUGUCCUUGUAAGAUAAAAAGUAUAAAACCAGACGGAAACCGUUUUUAUCGUAGUCUUGCCUGGAGCAUAUGUCAUGAUGAGGACCAGCACUUGAAAAUGAGACGGGCAGUUGUGAAACACCUCCAGAAUAACAGCAACGUAUUUGAGUCAUACUUGAGAGAUGGAUACACGUCAGUGCCAGACUACAUAACAAAAUCAAGGGUGUACUACUGUGGUUCUUGGGCAACAGAGAUUGAUAUUUUUGCUGCUGCGGAUUUAUUGCAAACAGCUAUCAUUACUUUGAAUGAUGGAACAUGGAACAUGCAUGCACCUAUUGCAAGACCACAGUCAGAGAAUUGCAUUUAUUUGAAUCACACUGGUGGCAACCACUAUGAAGUCGUAACAUGUGUUCAACACAGAAAUGCAGCAAGUGUUUGCGCAGGAACAUGCCAGCCUACAAACACUGACAACAACUUGAGGUCAUUACGAAAAAGAAAGUCAGAAGCUGAACCAGAAAAUAUGAAAGCUAAAAAAGAACGUCAGCGCUACCACAAUGACAGUGAUUACAGAAAACGGAACGUUGACCAUAGCAAAGCCAGGUAUAAGACAAACGGCAGGUUUCAAACUCUUGUGCAGACUUACUCAAAAGCUAAAUAUAAGACCAACAGCAGGUUUCAAACUCUUGUGGGAGAUUACUCGAAAGCUAAAUAUAAGACCAACAGCAGGUUUCAAAUUCUUGUGCGAGAUUACUCCAAAGCUAAAUAUAAGACCAACAGCAGGUUUCAAACUCUUGUGCGAGAUUACUCCAAAGCUAAAUAUAAGACCAACAGCAGGUUUCAAACUCUUGUGCGCAAAUACUCUAAAGCUAAAUAUAAGACCAACAGCAGGUUUAAAACUCUUGUGCGCAAAUACUCGAAAGCUAAAUAUAAGACCAACAGCAGGUUUCAAACUCUUGUGCGCAAAUAUUCCAAAAUUAAAUAUAAGACCAACAGCAGGUUUCAAACUCUUGUGCGCAAAUAUUCCAAAAUUAAAUAUAAGUCAAAUAAGAAGUUCCAGACUGAAGUUCGUGGAUACAGUCAUAAGAAAUACAAGAGAAACACUUCAUUUCAGAACAAAUUGAAACAGAACAAUAAAAGCAAAUACAGAAAUGACAAAACCGUCCGUGCUAAUAAAAUCCAACGUAGCAGUGAGAAACGUGCCACUUUGAACAAUAAACAGACUGAGAUAGACUUUGUCAUUGGUCGUUUCCGUCAGGAAGUCACCCGUGGUCCUGAGUAUGUAUGCUCUGUUUGUCAUCGCUUACUCUUCAAGAAGCAGGUUUUGGAGUGUAAAAGAGAAUGCUAUGAACGCAAAGGAGCAGAGGUUGCUACGCUGGCUAACAGGUGCAUUACAUUGCAAUAUUUACACAUCUAUGAUAUGGAAUGCGAGCAGAGAUGCCAUUUGUCUGAUAGUUCAUCAAGCAAGUUAUGGAUUUGCCAUACAUGUCACCGGAAAAUACUUGGAGGAAAACUGCCCCAGAUAAGUGUUGCCAACAGCAUGCAUCUGUCUGAAAUUCCUGCUGAGCUGAACUGUCUCAACUCUUUGGAACAACAUCUCAUCCCUCGCCAUAUUCCUUUCAUGAAGCUGUUGUGUUUGCCUCGAGGGCGCCAGAGAGCUUGCCACGGUCCAUGUGUUUCUGUUCCUAUUAACAACACGGAUGUAACAAAUAUCCUUCCAAGAAACGAAUGUGAUGACAAGAUGAUACGUGUGAAACUCAAACGUAAGUUGACGUACAAAGGUCAUUAUGAGUACAUGUUUGUCCACACCGAUCGUGUAAGAAACGCACUGAGAUAUUUGCUGGCAAACAACAAGUGGUACGAUGAUGUGACACUCAACAAUGAAUGGGUAACAGUCUAA